UGGGGAAUUUUGGACAAUGGGGGAAACCCUGAUCCAGCCAUCCCGCGUGUGCGAUGAAGGCCUUCGGGUUGUAAAGCACUUUUGGCAGGAAAGAAACGUCAUGGGUUAAUACCCCGUGAAACUGACGGUACCUGCAGAAUAAGCACCGGCUAACUACGUGCCAGCAGCCGCGGUAAUACGUAGGGUGCAAGCGUUAAUCGGAAUUACUGGGCGUAAAGCGUGCGCAGGCGGUUCGGAAAGAAAGAUGUGAAAUCCCAGAGCUCAACUUUGGAACUGAAUUUUUAACUACCGGGCUAGAGUGUGUCAGAGGGAGGUGGAAUUCCGCGUGUAGCAGUGAAAUGCGUAGAUAUGCGGAGGAACACCGAUGGCGAAGGCAGCCUCCUGGGAUAACACUGACGCUCAUGCACGAAAGCGUGGGGAGCAAACAGG
rnacentral:rRNA from 1 species